rnacentral:rRNA from 1 species
GAUGAACGCUGGCGGCGUGCUUAACACAUGCAAGUCGAACGGACAGGUGCUGCUCUUGUGGCUCUCACGUUUGGCGCGCGCGGGAGUAUCACGCGUGUAUCCCCCCCUUGUAUUUCUGAUAUCUUCUCGGAACUCCGGCGCUAAUCCCGUAUGAUCUCCUGCUCCGCGUGGGGCGAUGGUAAAUUUCGGCGGUUGGGGAUGGACUCGCGGCUUCUCCGCUUGUUGGUGUGGUAGUUGCUUACCAAGGCUUUGACGGGUAGCCGGCCUGAGAGGGUGACCGGCCACAUUGGGACUGAGAUACGGCCCAGACUCCUACGGGAGGCAGCAGUGGGGAAUAUUGCACAAUGGGCGGAAGCCUGAUGCAGCAACGCCGCGUGCGGGAUGACGGCCUUCGGGUUGUAAACCGCUUUCGCCUGUGACGAAGCGGGAGUGACGGUAAUGGGUAAAGAAGCACCGGCUAACUACGUG